rnacentral:lncRNA from 1 species
CUUUCUAAAGUGCCCAGAUGGACAUCUCCAACUGCGUUUCACUGCUAAUGUUUGCUUUGUUUGUUCUGAUUGGCAGCUGCUGGGCUCCAGUCAAGUACAUUGUCCCUCCUGACCACGGCUGCUCUGAAGGCAGGGUAGCUGUCUGAUGUGUCCUGCUGGCACCUGAGUAUUUCAGUUUCAGCUGAUUCAUCUUAAGUUUAAAAGCAAUUCUCCAGUAAAGAAGCCCCGUCUAUCUCAGGUGAGAUUUAUUCUGGAAACACUUUCCUCUUACAAUUAGUGCAUAUUGCAGCAUGCAAGCUGAGUUGCUGGAAGAACUUCUGGGCUCUACAUAUGUAAGAGCCUCAAGGUUUGACCAAUGCUGACAGAUGAAUUUAAACUAAGCAUAGACCUCCAACCUCUGAACCACAGUUGGUUUGGCUGGCCAAGAAACCGGAAUACGAGGAAUUCACUUGACUAAGCCUUCUCAAUCGCAACUUGUGGAUAUUAUGUUAACUGCUACAGUUAACACUGGUCAAUGACUUCUGAAGCCUUAGCAUGGCUGGAAGGAUUAUCCUGUUGCAUUGUAAACAACCACUAAACCUUCUAAAGAGAUUUCUCAUCUGCACUGUUUUGCUGGUGAGUUGCUUGAAGCCUGAUGCUAUAAAGAUAAUAGAAUUAGCAGACCUAGCAGGCCUCAUUAUUUUUAAUUACUAUUACUGCUGCUCACACACUACAUGUAAUUUGGUAAUGCUGGAGUGGGGUGUGGGGAGGGAACCAAUUCUGUAUUUCAGAAUGGUCCGUCAUAGAAGUGUUUGUUGUCAAAUCCUUCUGUGAAUUAUGUGUUUCUUUCAGAUUUAUCUUUUUAAUAAUAUUCUGAUCAAAUCUCAGAAACUCAACAUAACAAUAGGAAAAAGGGAAUGUAGACCAUAAAUAGGUCAAAAUCAAAGAACCUUCAGCUCACAGUUUGGUUCAUUUAUCAAAGCAAAAUCAAUUGUUAUUAUUAGCCUAUUAUCAUCAUCCUUCCAGUGAGCUGGCUUCAUUUUAAUCAAUAUUUCCAAUUAGUCUACAUCAAAUACAGUUUUAAACUGUAGCAACUCGGCUCAGUGUAGGCUAAAUAUAUAUAUGUGUUUCUGUGUCUCUUCCUUUCAUUCUAUCUUUGUUAAUAAGAUAUUUCUUUGCAAAUAAGUAAUAAGCAGCCAAGUGAAAAACAUAUUUGUAAUAGUUAUGCAUCAGAGUCAAUAAUGGAUUACCUACUGUGUUAAAAUGCUAUUUGUCUUUUAUUUGUAUGAACUAUAUGCUUUAAAUAGUACAUCAUGUAAUAAAUUACUCAUCAUUAAAUAACUUCA